CCUACGGGAGGCAGCAGUGAGGAAUAUUGGUCAAUGGACGAGAGUCUGAACCAGCCAAGCCGCGUGAAGGAUGACUGCCCUAUGGGUUGUAAACUUCUUUUAUAUGGGAAUAAAAUGUUCCACGUGUGGGAUUUUGUAUGUACCAUAUGAAUAAGGAUCGGCUAACUCCGUGCCAGCAGCCGCGGUAAUACGGAGGAUGCGAGCGUUAUCCGGAUUUAUUGGGGUUAAAGGGUGCGUAGGCGGUUUGUUAAGUCAGUUGUGAAAGUUUGAGGCUCAACCGUAAAAGUGCCGUUGAAACUGUCAGUCUGGAGUACAGUAGAGGUGGGCGGAAUGCGUGGUGUAGCGGUGAAAUGCUUAGAUAUCACGAAGAACUCCGAUUGCGAAGGCAGUUCACCGGACUGCAACUGACGCUGAGGCACGAAAGUGUGGGUAUCAAACAGGAUUAGAUACCCGGGUAGUC
rnacentral:rRNA from 1 species